rnacentral:SRP_RNA from 1 species
GCUGGGCGUAGUGGCGGGCGCCUGUAAUCCCAGCUACUCGGGAGGCUGAGGCAGAAGAAUAGUUUGAACCCAGGAGGAGGAGGUUGCAGUGAGCUAAGAACAAGUCACUGUACUCCGGCCUGGGUGACAGAGUGAGACUCUGUCUCAA